rnacentral:tRNA from 1 species
GGGCUCGUAGCUCAAUGGCAGAGCAGUGGCCUUUUAAGCCAUUUGUUGAGGGUUCGACCCCCUCCGAGCUCA